UGUUGCAUGGCCUGCACCACUUCAGUGAGGUCUCUGACCUGCUAAACCAGUAGGUUGAAUUGCUCUGCACCGACCGUCAUUGUCGGAAGAGGAGGGGGAGCCUAGGAAACCAGAGGUGAGGUCGGAGCCUGAGAUCUGGCCGCGGAUGCUGUGGAUUGCCUGGUGGAUGCUUUGCGGGGAGGCAUCGGGUGAAGAUCUAGUAGGAGAAGGAGAAGAGGAUGUCGGAGAAGAUGAUCGAAAUCAAUCCCGUUGAGCACUCCUUUUAGAACAAGGGUACUGCGAAGACACAGCCCCUUCCUCUAGCGCCAAUUCUAUUGGUGCAGAAUUUCAUCGAAGCCGGAGUUGUUGGAGUCGAGAAGACCGUGGCCGCCAUCGGGACCUGCAAGGGAAGUCUAAAUCGGAGUUGGGGGUACUC
rnacentral:lncRNA from 1 species